UGGUCUGUUUACAGGUUUGCACAAGGGAACUGUCUCACGUAUUGUGUCUGAUGUUUUGAAUUCAUUAUGUGACAAACGGGAUGAGUUUAUCAAGCGGCCGAGAAAUGUUGAUGAAACAAGAGGAGACUUUUACCGUCUAAGUGGUUUCCCAAAUGUGCUAGGGGCAAUAGAUGGGACACACAUCCGUAUCCAGGCUCCAUCAGAAGAUGAACCAUCGUUCGUGAAUAGGAAAGGGGUACAUUCUAUCAAUGUGCAGGCUGUUUGUGAUGCCAGAGGUAAAUUCACAAACAUAAAUGCAAACUGGCCAGGUAGCAGUCAUGAUUCCCACAUAUUCAGGACUUCACAAGUGUGUACCUACAUGGAACAAAAUGAUGGAUGGCAAAUGGUGUACUGCUUGGGGAAAGUGGUUAUCCUUGUCGUCCAUUUUUGAUGACACCAUACCAGAAUCCUGUACAAGAUCAUCAGAAAAAGUACAAUAGAUGCCACUGUUCAACAAGAAGUGUGAUUGAGAGAACAUUUGUGAGGCUGAAGAGACGGUUCCAUGUAUUACACUCAGAGAUAAGAAUGACACCAAGCAAAGCAUGCAAGAUCAUCAUUGCUUUUGCUACUCUUCACAAUAUUUGCAUCUUAUUAAAUGAACCAGACAUUGAAGAUGAUGGAGUAGUGAUAGACAAUGAUGGAGAUCUUGGGGAACGUUUCUUUGGUGAUCAGGACGGAAGAGGUGUCAGAGACCACAUUUCCUCCACAUUUUUUAAUCGCUGAAAUCAUGAAUAAAACAUUG